AGUGAACGCUGGCGGUAGGCCUAACACAUGCAAGUCGAACGGCAGCACAGUAAGAGCUUGCUCUUACGGUUGGCGAGUGGCGGAUGGGUGAGGAAUACAUCGGAAUCUACUUUUUCGUGGGGGAUAACGUAGGGAAACUUACGCUAAUACCGCAUACGACCUACGGGUGAAAGCAGGGGAUCUUCGGACCUUGCGCGUUUGAAUGAGCCGAUGUCGGAUUAGCUAGUUGGCGGGGUAAAGGCCCACCAAGGCGACGAUCCGUAGCUGGUCUGAGAGGAUGAUCAGCCACACUGGAACUGAGACACGGUCCAGACUCCUACGGGAGGCAGCAGUGGGGAAUAUUGGACAAUGGGCGCAAGCCUGAUCCAGCAAUACCGCGUGAGUGAAGAAGGCCUUCGGGUUGUAAAACCCUGUUGUUGGGAAAGAAAAGCAGCAGGUUAAUACCCCGCUGUUCUGACGGUACCCAAAGAAUAAGCACCGGCUAACUUCGUG
rnacentral:rRNA from 1 species